AGAAUCAACGCUGGCGGCGUGCCUAACACAUGCAGGUCGCACGAGAAAGUGGAGCAAUCCAUGAGUAAAGUGGCGCACGGGUGAGUAACACGUGAAUUAUCUACCUCCGAGUGGGGAAUAACUGAGAGAAAUCUUAGCUAAUACCGCAUAACACUUACGAGUCAAAGCAGCAAUGCGCUUGGAGAGGAGUUCGCGGCCGAUUAGUUAGUUGGCGGGGUAAUGGCCCACCAAGACGAUGAUCGGUA
rnacentral:rRNA from 1 species